rnacentral:lncRNA from 1 species
UAGUACGAGUCGACUCCAGGGAGUCACAGACAGAAAGACAGAGAAGUUAUUUUGGACCCUGAGAGCCGAGUCGACUCCGGAGGAACUCGAGUCGACUCCGAUGGUUGGCAGGUCGACUCCAAAGGAAGCGAGAGUCGACUCCCAGUGUGAUACAAAGCAAAAGUCAGAGAGCAACUUUCGGACACUGAGAGCCGAGUCGACUCCCGCAAAAUCCGAGUCGACUCCGAGGCAGCGCAACCCCAAAGACAGAAGACGGUAUUUUCGUCUCUGAGAGGCGAGUCGACUCCAAGACAGUUCGAGUCGACUCCAAGGCAGCGCGACCCCAAAAUACAGAGGAUCAGUUUUCGGGCUCUGAGAGCCGAGUCGACUCCAAGAGAAUCCGAGUCGACUCGAGGAAGAAAAUCAGAAAAUAUGUCCUCCGGACUCCAUGGGAUGAGCCGACUCCGAAAAUGCCAAGUCAGCUCCAGAAGUUGGCGAGUCGACUCCGGGUCAAGUCGAGUCGACUCCCAGUCGAAGAGGCGACUUUAAUUCAAAUUUGGAACAGUGGCCGAGUCGUCUCCAGUAAAGCACGAGUCGACUCCUGCAACAGGCGAGUCGACUCCUGAUCGCGCGAGUCGACUCCGAUCCCAACGGAAAUAUUGUCAGGAGGUACAGACUGUGUCCAACGACUCUAUUUUUGUCUCUAACGGCUAGAUUCUUGUUUCCACACCAUCUAAAGCUAUAAAAACAAGAAGAGAGCUAGGGGAGAACUUAUGGAAGUGGGAGAGAACAUUUAGGAAAGAGAUUUCAAAGAGAUUAC